AUGGCUCAGAUUGAACGCUGGCGGCAUGCCUUACACAUGCAAGUCGAACGGUAACAGCACUUCGGUGGCUGACGAGUGGCGGACGGGUGAGUAAUACAUCGGAACGUGCCCGAUCGUGGGGGAUAACUACUCGAAAGAGUGGCUAAUACCGCAUACGAUCUACGGAUGAAAGCGGGGGAUCGCAAGACCUCGCGCGGACGGAGCGGCCGAUGGCAGAUUAGGUAGUUGGUGGGAUAAAAGCUUACCAAGCCGACGAUCUGUAGCUGGUCUGAGAGGACGACCAGCCACACUGGGACUGAGACACGGCCCAGACUCCUACGGGAGGCAGCAGUGGGGAAUUUUGGACAAUGGGGGAAACCCUGAUCCAGCCAUGCCGCGUGCAGGAUGAAGGCCUUCGGGUUGUAAACUGCUUUUGUACGGAACGAAAAGACUCUUUCUAAUACAGAGGGUCCAUGACGGUACCGUAAGAAUAAGCACCGGCUAACUACGUG
rnacentral:rRNA from 1 species